CGGCGGUUUUUGGGUGGCACAAAGUCAGCGGCUUGACGCGGUCGGACCACCGUCGGGGCACCUUCGGCAAACCGACCAACGUAAAAAAGCUGUCGGUCUGCUGGCGUUUCUUGGGUGGCAAGCCACCAGCGGCUUGCCCCUGCUGGACCACCGUUGGUACACCAGUGGCAAACUGCUAGGUUUCUACUGAAACUAAGAAUUAUAAAAAUCUUAAGAAAAUACACGAAAAACAAUACGAGACUGCAUAUAGGGCUUAUUUAACGAAAUGCAUACAUUUUUUUAAUAUUUCAGUUUAAAAGAAUUUUAAGGAUAAAAUAAAAAAUGAGAGAUAGUGUUUAAUACAAUAUAGUCCACGUGCAGGUGUGGUAAUUUGGACAUUUAUAGACAACAAACAAACACGAGUUUGUGAUUUCAUAAUCAUUUGAGGAGAUUUUAAAUUGUUGUAGUGAUUAUGUCAAUGUGUGAAUUUGCCAUGACGCGUGUGUUGUGCGCGCCGAACACGUGCCCCUUUUGGCUUGUUCGACUUCAUGCGGCGCUGCAAGACCCGACAGCUGUAUGACGUCAAAGUACCGGGAGAACGAUUCGAGAACUCAUACGAAGUGUAAUUUCGUCUCGCUCUCGCGGCACUUUAACGUCAUCCGUCUGUCAGUGGCCGCAGGCAAGAAGUCGAACAGCCUUCUUUCUAUCAAUACGGAUUACCAUGAGGUGGGACUGACGAAGCUCCUCUUUCACGGGUUUCUUUACUGUUUUCAGAUUUUCCAUGCUGAUAUCCGUGGAGCAGAGUUGAAGCAGACCUGUCAGAAAACAUCUCUAAGGUGCUAUGAAUCUCAUAACUAGAUACACAUCAUAAGAUAACUAGAGCUUACGGCUCUGUUUGGAUCCAGCCUCACUUGUGAAGACUUCAGAUGAUGUAAACACUCACAAAGACAUUAUAUGAUGGCAUCUAUAGAUGGACAUACACAACUGCCAAAUGUAACAUAUUGUAAUUACUGCACCAAAGCGCAACCCUACAGAUUUUUAACCCACUUAAUAUUGUUACAAAUACAAUAUAUGUUUAUAUUUGAAAAAAUAUUCUUUAGCUAAUUUUACUUAUUUAUUUCCAUUUAUUUGUCCACAAUACUCCGCCAAAAUGAUGUUUUGCAUCAUCCAAAUAUUGUUAAUGUACAUAUUACAGACAUUGUAACAACACAAAGUGGAUUGAAAAGGUUUCUUCUUCUAAUUGCAGUAACUACGCAAACACUAAAACCGAGAAAAAAGUUCUUAAAGUAUUUUACACCAGCCAGUCAAACUUGUUACUGCAAUUUUGGCAAACACAUUUCUCUGAUGGGACAAAAUUAAACCAGGAGACUUUGUCACAAGACAACAGAUCUCACAAAGCCCAUUUCAACCUUUACCUCAAUUUGGACCAAAUGCAUAGUUAAUGCGCUUUGGCUUUGUUGGGCAGUAUAGUAGUAUUAUAGUAAUGCUGGAGUGAAACCAUGGUAACCAUAUAUUUUUAAAUCAUGGUAAAGUUUGUGGUUACUAAAAUGCAGUACUAUAAACCUAUGCUGUUGUAAGAGAAUGUUUAUUCUUUAUUAUUGUUGUGAAACCAUGGUUGAUUUUAUAUUUACCAUGUGUUACUGCAAAUGAUGGUAAAAUCAUGGAUAACUUUGCAUGGAUACAGAAAGGUGUAAACUGGUUGUUUUUAUUUGGAAGUCAUGUUGGUUUUAAUGCAUGUGAUAAAUGUAUAUGCAUUUGAAUAUUUAUUCUGUUUACUGACAAUAAUAAAUUUGCAGUUGCUGA